rnacentral:rRNA from 1 species
UCUGGUUGAUCCUGUCAGUAGUCAUAUGCUUAUCACAAAGAUUAAGCCAUGCAUGUCUAAGUACACGAUUUUAUAUAUCGAAACCUCGGAUGGCUCAUUAUAACAGCUAUGAUUUGAGAGAUAUUAUCAUUUGCCACAAGAUAACUGUAGUAAUUCUAGAACUAAUACUUUAUAGAAUGCCGUGACUCACGAAGUGGCGGAUUUAUUAGAUCAAAACUAACCUGUCCUAGACAGUAAUUUUUGACUCUGAAUAACUUUACUGAUCGUGCGACCUCUGUGUUGACGACGAAUCUCUUGAAAUGUCUGACCUAUCAACUUUCGAUGGUAAGAUCAAAGCUUAUCAUGGUUGUAACUGGUAACGGGAAAUUAGUGUACGAUUACGGAGAGGGAGUCUAAGAAACGGUUACCGCAUCCACGGAAGGCAGCAGGCGCGAAAAUUACCCAAUGCCGGUUCGGCGAGGUAGUGACAAUAAAUAACAAUAUGGACCCUAGUGGUUUCAUAAUUGCAAUGAGAUUAUUUUAAAUACUUUUUCAAGUAUCAAUUGGAGGGCAAGUCUGGUGCCAGCAGCCGCGGUAAUUCCAGCUCCAAAAGCGUAUAUUAAAGUUGUUGCAGUUAAAAAGCUCGUAGUUGAAAUUGAGGUAGAUGUAAUUUGAAAUCUUAUGAUUGAUUAUUACUAUACCUUUUCUUCGUGUAUAUUAGUGAGGGACUUAAUUGUUUUUNAAAUUAAAGUUGUUGCAGUUAAAAAUCUCGUAGUUGAAAUUGAGAUAGAUUAAAUUUGAAAUCUUAUGAUUGAUUAUUACUAUACCUUUUCUUCGUGGUUAUUGGUGAGGGACUUAAUUGUUUUUUACUAAUAACUGAAAUGUUUACUUUGAAAAAGUUAGAGUGAUUAAAGCAGGCUUACGCUUGUAUAUUGUUGCAUGGAAUAAUAAAAAAGGCUAGAAGUAAAAUUCUUAGACCAUCAGCAGACAAACUACUGCGAAAGCAUUUGCCAAUAAUGUUUUCAUUAAUCAAGAACGAAAGUCAGAAUAUCGAAGACGAUCAGAUACCGUCCUAGUUCUGACCAUAAAUUAUGCCAACUGACAGUUAGUAAAGAUUUCUUCUUACUAGAAGUCACCGGGAAACCAAAGUCUUUUGGAUUCCAGGAGAAGUAUGGUUGCAAAGCUUAAAGGAAUUGACGGAAGGGCACCACAAGACGUGGAACUUGCAGCUUAAUUUGACUCAACACGGGAAAUCUCACCCGGUCCGGACACUGUGAGGAUUGAUAGAUUGAUAGCUUAUACUAAAUAGUUCAAACUUUAUAAAACUUAAAAUAACUGGUAUUUUAUUUCUGUCUUUGGUUAUUGAUAAUAAAUUAAAAUAUAUAUAAUAGUUAGGUAAUUAAAACAUUAAGAG